CUUAAUUCCUGAAAGUUAACUCUCUAGUAGGGAGAAAAUUUAACGAGUAUGCGACACCUGUUGGAAAUUUUUAAUACUAACUUUUUAAAAAAUAAUAAU